UUCAAAAUUUCAAAAGAGUAUCUCUCAACGGCUAUAUUCUCUGUUUCUUCUUGGCCUCUCUCUCCCACUUUUCCUUACGAUUAUUCAUUUCUUCGCUGUCGCUGUUUUUGUUCAAUUCCAGGUUUGUUUUCUUUUAAAAUAUUUUCGAAUUUUAGGAGGCUGGAAAACAUAUUUUAAUAUGGGUUUUGGUUUUUGUGGUACUACUGGGGUAGUAGUUGGUCAACCAUAGUCGUUUGCUGUACGAUUUUUUCAUUGUAUCUUCCAAUUUUGCCUUAAAAAUUGUUGUCGAAUUUGAUUUUCUAUUGUUACCCAUUUGUGGAUUUCAACUGCUGCUCAUGAAAUUUUAUACGGAUUUGCUCUCUAAGUCAGAGAAUGUUUAGGAAAUUAGAUACUGAAUUGUGACCUAAAAGAAAAUUUCCGUCUGUAUGACUUUUUUCUGAUAAUUUAUUUGUUUAUAUCUAUGUUUUUUUCAAUGAUUAAUUAAUUUAGAACUUAUUUUUCAAAGGGGAGAUAAGAAUGGGUAAGUCAGUCUAUCCCACACUAUCUAGGAAUCUUAUUUUUCAGAAAUUCAAAAAAAUAAAUCCGUAUAGUUAACUUGUAGAAGUCUUUUUUGGCAAGGUUUUUCUAUGAGAAAACUAAUUUUCCUAAAAAUGCAAUCCUCGAGGUCCUUUUUUUGAAAAGUGCUUGAUGUACAUUUUUUUUCCAUUGGACUUUUUGAAGAGGCACAUUUAUGAGAACUAGUUUUCAUUGAAAUCCUUUCCAAAGGAAGUUGGGAAAUGGGGAUGUCUACCUAAUCAGUAUCUAGAAAAAUAAAUUUCUAUAGUUUUAAACUUGUGGAAGUCUUUCUUAUGAAAGGAUAUUAUCUUAGAAAACCAUUUUUUUCCCUGAAAGUGCAAUCUGCAAUGUCCUUUUUUAAAAAAGCGCUCGAUGUACUUUUUUUUCAUUGGACUUUUAAAGAGGCACUUUUAUGAGAACUAGUUUUUGUUGUGAUACUUUUCAAAGGAAGCUGGGAACUAGAGAGUCUAUUUACACAGUAUCUAGAAACAUAAUGUCAGAGCAUCUUCUAGAACUGCCACACUAAUAUGACACACAUCCAAUAUAAUUAAUUUGCCAAGCUUCCUGUAAACAUAUUUAGUAAAAAGCAUAGAGGUAUAUUAAUCUUUUUCAUUUUCAUAUAGAUCCUUUUGGUAGUUGAUACUGUAUCUAGAUUGAAAUGGAAAUGGAGGUUGUAACAGAACCCACAGAUAGAAGGCUGGGUGGUGGAUUAUGCCUGUAUCAAAAAGAGACUGUUUAUUUCAGUAAAACAUUAUCAGACAUUUACUAUGGUCCUGCCUCAUUAUACUAAAUCAAUUUCAUAAAAAGUUGUGUUGUGCAAAUAAUGUCUGUAACUGAUGGUAUGUGUUUCAUGCCUUUUUUUAUUAUUAUUUAAAUUUGUUUGUCAUGGAAUAGAAGGUAAUUAUUGUGUCUUGUUUUACAAUUGUCUUGAAUAAGAUGAUAAUUUAUCAUUUUGCUUUUUAUAUUGUGUUACGAUUGUCUUCUUCUCUAAUGUGAUAGACUUGACGCUGGCAUAUUUUCUUACUUUGCAUGUACCAUAUUCUGUGCAAGGGAAGGAAGUAUGUGAUGCUGUAAUGCCAAAAUGCCACAGAUCCUUUUGGUAGUUGAUACUGUAUCUAGAUUGAAAUGGAAAUGGGGCUUGUAACAGAACCCACAAUAGAAGUUUGGGUGAUGGAUUAUGCCUGUAUCAAAAAGCGACUGUUUAUUUCAGUAAAACAUGAUCAGACAUUUACUAAGGUCCUGCCUCAUUGUACUAAAUCAGUUUUAUAAAAAGUUGUGCUGUGCAAACUAUGUCUGCAGUUGUUGCAUGUGUUUCAUUAUUUAAAUUUGUUUGUCAUGGAAUAGAAGGUAAUUAUUGUGUCUUGUUUUACAAUUGCCUUGGAAUAAGAUGAUAAUUUAUCAUUUUGCUUUUUAUUUUGUGUUACAAUUGUCUUCUUCUCUAAUUUGAUGGACUUCACGCUGGCAUAUUUUCUUACUUUGCAUGUACCAUAUUCUGGCCAAGGGAAGGAAGUAUGUGAUGCUGUAAUGCCAAAAUGCCACAGGUAGCAGCCACUAGAUGCCUUUAUGUGGAAUUGAUUGCUGUUUGUAUUGACAUUAUAUCCUCUCUCUUUCUCUCUCAAAUUUCAUUGCUUUAUUUUUUGUUGAUUGUAUGGCGUUUUAAAGAAAUUGAUCUCAUUGCUUUGCUUUGUUCAAGUUCCUUGCAUUCUUCGUGAAUUUUAUUUUAUAGAUCCUCUGAUUAACUUAAACAAAAGAGAGGUUUGCAUAAUUGGUUUUGGGUUGAUCUCGAGUUUUAACAAACAUUGCUAGUAAGUUAGGUUGAUCUCUCUAAUUGCUUUCUUGUUGAUAAAAGAUAUUAUUGAGGAUGGUUUUCUGGUGACCGAAUAGUAUAAACUGCCAAGGUCUCCAAACCUGUGUAAGUGCAUCCUAUUUUUCAAUUUGGUUUGCAAAUUAUCGAAUAUUCUUUUCUUAUUCCUUGCAAGAUAUUAAUUGUGCUGGUCAACUUAUCUAUCAUUUUUUCCAUUCUUCCUCUUGAACAAGUUACCUAUCUUACCAGAUAUUAAUAUGCUUCUGUUUUUUUAUGAACAGUGGCACCUUGUAUCCAUGUUGGUGGAAAGGAAAGCCAGGUGGAGAAAAGAAAUCAAACGACAGAACAAAUAUGGACGUACAAUUUUUUUUUGCUUUCGUCUUUCUCUCUAUGUAUCUUACUUAGUCCUUCACUCACACAUAUGUCACUAGAUUUGGACCCAUAUUUUCUUCUAGAGCGAAGACAAUCAUGUCUUUUUCCCCAUAACCUUGCCUUAUCUUUUUUCUUGGUUUACUUUGCUAGUCUAUUAUUUUCUCUUGGAAUUCCUCCCAAAACUUGGUUGAUUUUAACGUCCUUAUACCCUAAUUUCAAAUUACCUUGUUGGACCAUCUACAAUCACUUGAAUCAAUUUUUUAUAUUCAUCUGACAUGCGGUUAGAUUUUUGCUCCAUCAUCUGACAUGAUAUAUUCAUCUAUAUUUUUUUAUAUGGUCAUUUCAUAAUGUUCCUUCUCUUAUUGUACUAUUAUUCAUUAUUACAUGCUAUAAACACCGUAUGAGUACAGCAACAUGACCUGCAUUAGUAUUAUUUGCUCUUAUUGGUUGGACUCUGUAUGAAGCAUUUUGUCCUAAAAAAUUUGAGCCUUUGAUAGUUCAUUAAAAUAAACUGUUUCCCACUAGAACAUUAUCACAUUUUAAGUGUUAUCGAAAUUUAAUGUUCAUUAGGGUUAUAUAAAAUGAAUGUUGGUUAGAUCUAAUUUUAUUAAAUGAUCAAUUAAUUCAGAUAUAUUUUCUUAAGUAUAUAAGUUGACAAUUAAAGUUGCAAUAGACUUAACUAAAUGAGGCAUAUAUGAUAUCUAAAAGUUGCAAUGGACUUAACUAAAAGUUGUAACAGACUUGACUGAUUGAUUCAUUGUAACUUUUGUGUUUUACUUUUCUAUUCAUUAUUGCUUCGUAAUGCAAUUGAUCUGUAGUUUGUUGUGUUGUUUGAUUGUUUGAGUUUUGUUUAUAGUAUGCAUUUUUUUUUUUUUUUUUUUGCUGGUAUUAUAUUGUCAGUUUUGGUGUAUAUGUAUAUAAAUAUAUAUUUUUUGGUCAGGGUGGUUUUGGUGGAUUUUGAAUUCACUAUUUCGCGUGUUGCAUUUAAUAUUAUUUCAGGGGCAGUUAUAGUUUCUGGACAGUAAUAUUCAGAGAAAGAAGCAGACAUUUUGAGAGCCACGACAGAUAUUGAUCCAAUUCCUUAAAAUUUGGACUUGAAAUUCAGUUUCUGUGACACUGUGUUGUAUUAUAUAUUGAUAAUAAUAAAAGAUAAAUGUUUUUUGGGUUUGGGAGGAAGAAGACUGCUGGGGUUGGCAAGUCUCUUCCUCUCUCUGCUGUGUGUGUGUGCCCCUCUCUCUUCCUCGCUUUCUUUCCCACUUCAAUCUGUCUCUCUGCUUUCUCUUUUCUAUUUCCCUUUUGACUUU